rnacentral:rRNA from 1 species
UACGUAGGGUCCGAGCGUUGUCCGGAAUUAUUGGGCGUAAAGGGCUCGUAGGCGGUCUGUCGCGUCGGGAGUGAAAACUUACAGCUUAACUGUGAGCGUGCUUCCGAUACGGGCAGACUUGAGGUAUUCAGGGGAGAACGGAAUUCCUGGUGUAGCGGUGAAAUGCGCAGAUAUCAGGAGGAACACCGGUGGCGAAGGCGGCUCUCUGGACCGAGACUGACGCUGAGGCGCGAAAGCGUGGGGAGCAAACAGG